AUACAAGCUGAGAAGAGGAACGAACUUCGCGCAGCGCCGCAGAGAGGAAGCGGCUGGUGUAAGCUUCCGCAAAGCCGAAGUUCCCGUCGCCUCCGAGCCGCCGGGCUGAACGCACAGUAAGCCCCGCCGGGUCCUCCCGUUACAGAGCUGCGAGUGCCCGCGCAAGCGGGAAUACAGGUGGUACCACGGAGAUCUUCUUCGCCCUGAGU
rnacentral:ncRNA from 1 species